AAGCUUCCUGGUUUCCCUUGGCAUACUGCAUAAACAAUGACUAUUAGGGUUUAUAAAUAAAAAGAAAUUCAAUCACAGACGACGAUAUUUUUCAUAACCGACGUAGUAUAUCCAUUCAACGACGUUAAUUUUACAUGACCGACGUUGAUAAUACAAAAAACGACGUGAAAUGUAUGAAGGUAAUUUCUUCUUACCUUAUUCUCAAACCCCAAGGAAGGAUCCAUGAUGAUGUCCCUCAUGAAGCGCAUCACAUAAUACCCGCAUUCGACAUUGCUGGGUUGCUUUGGUGUGCCUGAGAGAGUUUUCCAAAUUACAUUUUUACGUCCUG
rnacentral:lncRNA from 1 species